rnacentral:rRNA from 1 species
UGAGGAAUUUUGGACAAUGGGGGCAACCCUGAUCCAGCGACGCCGCGUGAAGGAUGAAGGUCUUCGGAUUGUAAACUUCUUUUGUUUGGGAAUAAGAGUACCGGGGAAACUCGGGACGUGAAUGUACCAGAUGAAUAAGCCACGGCUAACUUCGUGCCAGCAGCCGCGGUAAUACGAAGGUGGCAAGCGUUACUCGGAAUUACUAGGCGUAAAGGGCAGGUAGGCGGUUUGAUAAGUCUAUUGUGAAAGCUCCCGGCUUAACUGGGAGAGGUCAACAGAUACUGUCGAACUUGAGUAUGGGAGAGGGUACUGGAAUUCCUGGUGUAGCGGUGAAAUGCGCAGAUAUCAGGAGGAACACCGAUGGCGAAAGCAGGUACCUGGACCAUUACUGACGCUCAGCUGCGAAAGCUAGGGGAGCAAACAGGAUUAGAUACCCCCGUAGUCC